GUGUCAGCAGCCGCGGUAAUACGAAGGGUGCAAGCGUUACUCGGAAUUACUGGGCGUAAAGCGUGCGUAGGUGGUUCGUUAAGUCCGAUGUGAAAGCCCUGGGCUCAACCUGGGAAUGGCAUUGGAUACUGGCGGGCUAGAGUGCGGUAGAGGAUGGCGGAAUUCCCGGUGUAGCAGUGAAAUGCGUAGAGAUCGGGAGGAACAUCUGUGGCGAAGGCGACUGCCUGGACCAGCACUGACACUGAGGCACGAAAGCGUGGGGAGCAAACAGGAUUAGAUACCCUAGUAGUCC
rnacentral:rRNA from 1 species